GCUGCUUCUCGGCCUUUUGGCUAAGAUCAAGUGUAGCAUAGGCGGGCUCCCCAGGGCAGGUGAUUGUCUCUGAUAUGUCGUCCAUUGGAGGUCUGUAUUGAGCAGAUUCUUUUUGGUGUUGGGUGGUGGAACCGGAGCUUGCUCCAUCCACUCCAUGCAUGCAUUGACCUGGUAUUGCUGUGCUUCCAGGACUGGUGCAAAAAAA
rnacentral:snRNA from 1 species